AGCAUAUUUAAAAAUUAAGUUUGAUUUGCGGCUAUUAGGGAAAAAGAACUCGACUUCAGCGCUUGUUUUUUCCCCUUUCUACCUGUCAUAACCUGUUGAUAUCAUAGGAAGAAAGCAGUUCAGUAGACAAUAACGAUCCAGAAUUUAAACUUUGUUCAAACUUUAAGAUUUUUAGCAUUGAACCCAUUAUAUUUAUAAAGUUAAAUAUUCAUAACUAUUAUUUAUUAUAAUUUUACUGAAAUUUUCACAUAAAUUUAUGCUCUGGAUGUCUCGUACGUAUAGUUGUACAUCCGCCACCGACAAUAGCCAUCUAUAUUGUCCUCAACAUAUGGUUGCGAAUUUAGGAACAUAGGUAAUAAUACUAUGCUCUGACAUCUGUUCCAAGUUUAGGAACAUAAGUAGUAGUACAGUAUUGAUGAAAGUGCUGAUGAAGGGAUGAGCGGAACAGGAAGUCUACUGGACGCGGUUUCGGCUCUUAUCUGCUUCUUUCCAUAUUAGAGUGAUGUUUUGCCUCCAAUAGAUUGUUUCUUCUGCUUGAUAUUUCCUAGGCACCAACUUCCUUGGUUUCACAUUUUUAUUUAGGACAAUGCAAAGGGAGGGUGUGUUGUGCGAUGAGUGAGGCAGUGAUGAACAAGCAAGAAUUGACUCAACUAAACAACAACUACCCAGUAUAAUUUCACAGGUGAAGUAUGGAGAGGAUAGUAUGUACACAUACCUUGCCCUAUUCUUGUGGAAUAGAGAGACUGUCUCCGAUAUAGACCCUCGGCUCAAGAAGAAUAGCCUCAACUAAAGUUGAUAAAAAUUUGAACCUUAAGAAUGGCAUUCAUGUUAGUUACAAAUAUAAUACCAAAAUUUACCUAUCAAAAAUAUAAUUCGAUAUAUUCACAGUAGUACAACUUGACCAUCGGUUCGCAUGCGGAGGGUUUAGCUUUUUACAGAAGUAGAAGUUUGAUUCUUUAAGAUUCUCGUAACUUGUUAGAUAUGGCAAAAAGAGCUCCAAUGAUCACAAUUACAGCCCCUGAAAUCAAAAGGUUUGACUUGAUACUUUCAACUGCCCUUUCUUCCUUCUUCUUUGCUCUAUUGUCUUGUUCCUUCUACAAAUAAAAAAAAAGUUAGAGGUAAUAAAUAUAUCAAAAUAAAACAAAAUUAUGAGAAAACUAGAUUCAUUUGUCAUAACUUUUCUUCAAUAAGAGAAGCUGGAGUUUAUAGUGGGAGGUCUUAGGUUCAAAUUCAGGCAAAGGAAAAUAUAAAACAAGAGGUCAUUUUUACAUAUGUUCAGAUGGACAGAUAAUCUUGGUAGCAAAACUGAUAAAAUUACUCGAGGUGCAGUUGUUUGAACGCCACGAUUAUCCAAAAAAUAGGAAAUAAUAAAACCCGUAAAAUUAAUCGAGGUACACGCAAGCUGGCUCGAACGCUACAGUCAUUUAUACUACUCGAUCCGGAACACCACAAUUAUCCAAAAAAAGGGAUGGUAGGACUCGUGAAAUUAAUCAAGGUAAAUGCAAGCAAAGAUCGCACACCACGAUUAUAAAAGAAAAAAAUCCCAAAUUAAAGAAAAGGGAAUCCCAAAUUAAAGAAAAAGGGGUACCUUGACUUUCUUUUGUUUUGGAAAAACCUUCACUUGUCUAGACGUAGUAGUAAAAGAAGGAUGUCUUUCAAAAUCUUUGUCCUCUGUUUCAUCAUUAUUCUCAUCCACAAUUUUAGCCCCAGCUAAUGGUGGUUCAAUUUCUUCAAGAGUUGUCAUAUUAACUUUGCUUUAUGAAAGUUUUACAGCUUUUGUUUUUAUUAAAGUUUAAUUUGUCGUACUGUUUG
rnacentral:lncRNA from 1 species